rnacentral:rRNA from 1 species
GUGCCAGCCGCCGCGGAUAAUACGUAUGUCCCAAGCGUUAUCCGGAAUUACUGGGUGUAAAGGGUUUGUAGGCUGUUAAUUAAGUAGGAUAUGAAAGACCGGAGCUCAACUCCGUGUUUGUGUUCUAAACUGGUUGACUAGAGUUAGGAAGAGGUAAGCGGAAUUCUAAGUGUAGGGGUGCAAUCCGUAGAUACUUAGAAGAACACCAAAAGCGAAGGCAGCUUACUGGGACUAUACUGACGCUGAAAAACGAAAGCGUGGGGAGCGAAAAGGAUUAGAUACCCUUGUAGUCCACGCCCUAAACGAUGAUAACUUGGUGUUGGGAUUUUUCCCAGUGCCGAAGCUAACGCGUUAAGUUAUCCACCUGAGGAGUACGGUCGCAAGAUUAAAACUCAAAGGAAUAGACGGGGACCCACACAAGCAGUGGAUCACGUGGUUUAAUUCGACAAUAAACGGGGAACCUUACCCAGACUUGACAUCUAUAGAAUCUUUUGGAAACAAAAGAGUGCCCGUAAGGGAACUAUAAGACAGGUGCUGCAUGGUUGUCGUCAGCUCGUGCCUUGAGGUGUUCGGCUAAGUCCGUUAACGAGCGCAACCCAUGUUGUUAGUUAUAUUUUCUAACAAGACUGCCUAAGUUAAUUAGGAGGAAGGUGUGGAUGACGUCAAAUCAGCAUGGCUUUUACGUCUGGGGCUACACACAUGAUACAAUGGUAUAUACAAAGAGUGGCAGUAUUGUAAAAUGGAGCUAAUCUCAAAAAUAUAUCUCAGUCCGGAUUGAGGGCUGCAACUCGCCCUCAUGAAGUUGGAAUUGCUAGUAAUCGUAAAUCAGACAUGUUACGGUGAAUAUGUUCCUGGUCUUGCACUCACCGCCCGUCAAGGC